rnacentral:tRNA from 1 species
AAGAUUAAUUUAAUUAGGCUUCUAACCUAAAAUUAAUGAUUUAUAUCAUUUGAUCUUU